rnacentral:rRNA from 1 species
CCUACGGGUGGCAGCAGUGAGGAAUAUUGGUCAAUGGGCGUAAGCCUGAACCAGCCAAGUCGCGUGAGGGAUGACGGUUCUAUGGAUUGUAAACCUCUUUUAUAAGGGAAUAAAGUGUGGGACGUGUCCUGUUUUGUAUGUACUUUAUGAAUAAGGAUCGGCUAACUCCGUGCCAGCAGCCGCGGUAAUACGGAGGAUCCGAGCGUUAUCCGGAUUUAUUGGGUUUAAAGGGUGCGUAGGCGGCCUUUUAAGUCAGUGGUGAAAGUCUGUGGCUCAACCAUAGAAUUGCCGUUGAUACUGGGAGGCUUGAGGAUGGUUGAGGCAGGCGGAAUGCGUGGUGUAGCGGUGAAAUGCUUAGAUAUCACGCAGAACCCCGAUUGCGAAGGCAGCCUGCCAAGCCAUGACUGACGCUGAUGCACGAAAGCGUGGGGAUCAAACAGGAGUAGAUACCCGGGUAGUC